UCUGUACGCAUCUUAUGUGGGAUGCUUCCUUUCUCUCCUAUUCGGCAGUACGCCUGUGGUCACUAUGGGGACAACGGCCCUUAUGUCACUCGUCACUUACGAUUCCGUGGCUGCACUGAUGGGACCUGAAGCAGCUAUCCUUCUCGCAUUCCUCACCGGUUGCAUUGUUCUUCUCUUCGGCCUGCUCAGUUUCGGUUUCUUGAUUGACUUUAUCGCAGCUGAAGUCGUGGACGGAUUCACGAUCAUUGCCGCCUUCGCGAUAGCUGCAACACAAAUUGAAGCCCUUUUCGGCCUCACAUUUGAUGACGAAGGGUUCCUCAAUACGUGCACAGCGGUAUUUGAACACAUUGAGGAAACUAAAAAAUAGGAUGCUGUUUUGGGUUUUGCCUCCAUCGCUAUUUUGCUUCUACUUUGGGUUCUUGAUCAAGUCAAAUUGAGUGAAGAAGGGGAAAGAAGGCGAUGGCAAAAUUGGGUCAACACGACAUGUUGGCUGAUUUCGGUCUCGCUCAACGCUAUCGUCAUCAUGGCCGCUUCCAUUUUGGCUUACGCCCUGAGCUAACUCUUGAUCGCGAUCCCGAUCAAAAAAUUGGUCGCCGAUCCCAUCAUUUGAGAUCCCGGAAUCAGGAAGUGAUGUGAAUCUGAAUUGAAACCCAAACGAUUACUGCGUUUAUGAAAAACUGAUAAUCUAACAAAAUGCAUCUUGACUACAACGAUAAAAUUCACGAAAAUAUCCCCGACGGAUGCAGGACUCAUGCCAUAAGACUGAAAGCAUUCUUUUACUUGGAAUUUACAUAAUUUUAGCACAAUUCUGUGUGUGAAAAUGUCUAUCUCAGCUCAUCCAGAGUUAUAACUGUAUGCUCAUAAUGCUACCAGUGCGUGAUGCUGUGUGGUAAUACAACGAAACUCGGGGAAAUCGACCUUACAAUAGAG